UUUAAAAAUAUGUGAUUUCUGAACGGCAUCAUAAUUAUUUAAAAUACCUAGAUUUUUAUGUAGUGAUUCCGAGAUUCUUUUUUAUUUUAAACACAAACCAUCAUCAGGAAUGGUUACCAAAUUGGUCACCAAGACUUUUUAUUAUUUAUUAUUUUUACUUUCGUUAAAACUACCUUACUUUUAUUAAAUUUAAAAUUUAUUAUUAGUCGGAAGGUAGACACGUUUGGUUUCCUGACCAGGAAUUCAAAUUUAGAAACCAUAGCCCCUCUGAAUGUCGCUAACAUUUCAACAAUGCGGGAGAGCGUUCAGAUAUCGGAAUCUGAAUUUCUGACUGUAAACCAAAUAUGUGUGGCCGGCCUGUGGUCUUAAUUUGUAAUAAUAAUUAUUAAUAUUGAACAAAAAGUAUAGAAUGCAGUACUUAUCGUACCUACCAUCGCAUUCGUUGCUAUGUGAGAAUAAACCACGCCUUUAUCAAUCUUAGUUUAUGGCGGAAACAAGAAAGGCACUAACUAGAUGAAUACGUUGAUGAUAAUAUGACUAAUUGGAUCUGAAUGAUGUGGAUAUUGGAUGUAGUCGCAUUUGAAUAAAAGUUCUGAAGUCCAAUGGAAGAAUAGACUCAGGA